GAUGAACGCUGGCGGCGUGCCUAAUACAUGCAAGUCGAGCGAACCACUUCGGUGGUGAGCGGCGAACGGGUGAGUAACACGUAGGUGAUCUGCCCAUCAGACGGGGACAACGAUUGGAAACGAUCGCUAAUACCGGAUAGGACGAAAGUUUAAAGGUGCUUCUGGCACCGCUGAUGGAUGAGCCUGCGGCGCAUUAGCUAGUUGGUAGGGUAAAGGCCUACCAAGGCGACGAUGCGUAGCCGACCUGAGAGGGUGAAUGGCCACACUGGGACUGAGACACGGCCCAGACUCCUACGGGAGGCAGCAGUAGGGAAUCUUCGGCAAUGGGCGAAAGCCUGACCGAGCAACGCCGCGUGAAUGAUGAAGGCCUUCGGGUUGUAAAAUUCAGUUAUAAGGGAAGAACGACUUUAGUAGGAAAUGGCUAGAGUGUGACGGUACCUUAUGAGAAAGCCACGGCUAACUACGCGCCAGCCGCCGCGGUAAGAC
rnacentral:rRNA from 1 species